AGGAAAAGAAACUAACAAGGAUUCCCCUAGUAACGGCGAGUGAAGAGGGAAAAGCCCAAAUUUGUAAUCUGGCUCUUUUAUAAGGGUCCGAGUUGUAAUUUUGAGAACUGUUUUCCGUGCUGGACCAUGUACAAGUCUGUUGAAAAACAGCAUCAUUGAGGGUGAUAAUCCCGUACAUGAUAUGGACUACCAGGGCAAUGUGAUACAGUCUCUAAGAGUCGAGUUGUUUGGGAAUGCAGCUCAAAGUGGGUGGUAAAUUCCAUCUAAGGCUAAAUAUAGGUGAGAGACCGAUAGCAAACAAGUACCGUGAGGGAAAGAUGAAAAGAACUUUGGAAAGAGAGUUAACAGUACGUGAAAUUGUUAAAAGGGAAACAUUUGAAGUUAGACUUGUUAUUGUUGGUUCAGCUCUUUUUAUAAGGGUGUAUUCCAAUGGUUAACAGACCAGCAUCAAUUUUUGGGUGUUAGAUAAGGGUCUUGAGAAUGUAGCAACCUCGGUUGUGUUAUAGAUCUUGACUUGAUAUAAUGCUUAGGAUUGAGGAACGCAGUGAGCUUCUUUGAAGUGGAUCCCCUUGGGGGUCUCAUCAC
rnacentral:rRNA from 1 species